rnacentral:rRNA from 1 species
CCUACGGGACGCAGCAGUGAGGAAUAUUGGUCAAUGGGCGGGAGCCUGAACCAGCCAAGCCGCGUGAAGGAAGAAGGCGCCAAGCGUCGUAAACUUCCUUUGUCGGGGAACAAAGGGCGCCACGUGUGGCGUUGUGAGUGUACCCGAAGAAAAAGCAUCGGCUAACUCCGUGCCAGCAGCCGCGGUAAUACGGAGGAUGCGAGCGUUAUCCGGAUUUAUUGGGUUUAAAGGGUGCGUAGGCGGACAGUCAAGUCAGCGGUAAAAAUGCGGUGCUCAACGCCGUACAGCCGUUGAAACUGGCAGUC